UACAGAGGUCCCAAGCGUUGUUCGGAUUCACUGGGCGUAAAGGGUGCGUAGGUGGCGAGGUAAGUCGGAUGUGAAAGCUCGGAGCUCAACUCCGAAAUGGCAUUGGAAACUACCUUGCUCGAGGGUUGGAGGGGGGACUGGAAUGCUUGGUGUAGCAGUGAAAUGCGUAGAUAUCAAGCGGAACACCAGUGGCGAAGGCGGCUCACUGGCCCGGUACUGACGCUGAGGCGCGAAAGCGUGGGGAGCAAACAGG
rnacentral:rRNA from 1 species